rnacentral:rRNA from 1 species
GGGGAAUAUUGGACAAUGGGCGCAAGCCUGAUCCAGCCAUGCCGCGUGAGUGAUGAAGGCCUUAGGGUUGUAAAGCUCUUUCACCGAUGAAGAUAAUGACGGUAGUCGGAGAAGAAGCCCCGGCUAACUUCGUGCCAGCAGCCGCGGUAAUACGAAGGGGGCUAGCGUUGUUCGGAAUUACUGGGCGUAAAGCGCACGUAGGCUGACUUUUAAGUCAGGGGUGAAAUCCCGGGGCUCAACCUCGGAACUGCCUUUGAUACUGGAAGUCUUGAGUAUGGAAGAGGUAAGUGGAAUUGCGAGUGUAGAGGUGAAAUUCGUAGAUAUUCGCAGGAACACCAGUGGCGAAGGCGGCUUACUGGUCCAUUACUGACGCUGAGGUGCGAAAGCGUGGGGAGCAAA